UACAAAUGAACAUUUGUUAUAGGUGCUUGCUUAAUAUUUUUCCAACUGUUGGUCGAGAAGGAUCGAAAAGUUUGGUGAACUGUAGCUCAAGGUCGUAGCAGAAGCGGGCAGCCUGAGCAGAGGGGGGCCAGUGGGGGACCUGAAGCAGUUCGGUCAGCACUGUGAGUUCCGGCCUGUUUCCCUGCUGCUAAGCAUGAAGUGCGGGACUGAGGAGGGUGGCGGUGAGGCCGGACAGGGGCAGGGGCCAGGCCUCCGAGUGGCCUGGGUGCCAGGAGCCCGGGGACAUGGCUGGGAGGAAGGUCUGAGAGGCCAGAGGACAAAAAUGCACGGUCUAACAAGGAAGCAGCCAGCAGCGGAGCCCAGAGCCCAAGCAGCCCGGAGGGGGACGAGAACGGCGGUCAGUUUCAGGGGCUGAGAGCUGAGUUUCCGGAAGAGGGACUGUGGCUACUGUUUGGAAAGAGAUGUGCUGGGGUGGUAUACCAUGUUGGCCUGAGAUUAUGAAGCUCAACAUGUGUUCCUGCAGAUUGCCUCCUGAUUCAAGAUGGCUGUGCAAAUCCCAUUCGUCACAUCUGCAUUCCAGAAGCCAGGAGAAAGGGGAAGAAGCGGUGUCCUUUCUCUUUCAGAGCUUCUCAGUAAUCUCACACAGCAUUUACAUCUCAUUGAGUAGAACUUGGCCACAGUGAGCUGCAAGGGAGCAUAGAGUGUGUUUAGUAUUUUUAGCUAAACACACUAAAGAAUAAAAGGAGAAAGAAAAAAGUUGGGUUCUGUGCCUCGAAAGAUAAUCACUAGUAGAAAGCAAAUGAAAACAAUAGUUUUCUUUUUCACUUUUUAAUUGGCCAAAUGUUACAAAGAUUGGUAAAACCAGAGUUAGCAAGUGCGUGGGGAAGGUGGGUCCUCCUCCGCACAUUGCUGGUGGGCGUUGUGACUUGUCCUCACUUUUGGGGGGCAUAACCUGAAAUGUCUAAUAAAUACUAAAAUAUCCAUAUUGGACAUGAGGGAAGGUCGUAAUACAUUAUUAGCUUUGAAAAACAAACUGCAGAAUAACGUCUCUAGUAGCUGCAAACUGGUGGCCCAUUAUGGCACGUAACACUGUGUCAGGCACAGUGCCACGUGCUCUUCCCUUUUUCUCCUUUCACAACUAACUUACAAGGUAGGUACUAUUGGAUUUUUACUCAGGGGAAGCAUUUAAAGCACAGAGAGGUCAAAUACUUUUUCAUGGU